GGGUAGUGGCUCAGUGGUAGAGUGCUUGCCUAGCAUGUGGGAAGCAUUGGGUUCGAUUCUCAGCACACA
rnacentral:tRNA from 1 species